GUGUCCUGAUCAAAUAUCCACCCAACAUAAUUCAGUACUCAGCAUCUCUGGAUUGUAAAAGGACCUUUGCAUGCGACUUCUGUCCAAAGGCAAAACAGCGGCGCUCAAGUGGUCUGCAUGAACCAACCCAGAAAGAUGAACGGCUAGCGUUACCCUUGUGACAAGAAUUUGUCCCAUUCACGUAAGGGCGGUGUGGGCAUGUAUUUAAUUUCAUAUCGGUUAUUUGGUUGAAAGAUUUUGAGUAUCCAUGCAAGGUCGAGAAAUCUAAAUAAUAUUUUCCGACGAGCAUUGCAGGUGAGAUGUUGCACUUUAGCUAUUUUGGACGUAUUUGCCGUCGAGGGCUCAACAGUCAACGCCGCUGCAUUUCAACUGAAUUCGAGAUGCCAAUGCUCUUCCUCCUUGAGCUCCUUCGUGUUCUCUUGUGCUCCGCUAUUGGUAGGAAGUGGUCGGCUCGGUGGUGGCGGCGAGUUCGUGGAGGACGUACGUGGGCUUGGUGGUGGAGGUGACCUAGGCGGCGGAGCUGGGUUAGGUCAUGGUGGUGGAGCUGGUCUCCGUGGAGGUGGACUUAGUUGAUGGUGGUGCGGGUGGAGGUUUUAGAGGUGGCAGCGGAGUCGGCGGUGGACUGGGAGGUGGAUCAGGCCUCAGCGGUGGGGUUCGGAGGUGGUUUUGGGGGUGGUGCAGGACUUGGCGGUGGUGCAGGAGGUGGAGCUUGGGGUGGCCUUGGUGGUGGAUUUCCUCGAGGGUUCUUUUAAUCUGUCCUUUUUUUUUGAGUAAACUUCUAAUCGGUCCGUACCCGUUCAAAGUUUG
rnacentral:lncRNA from 1 species